UGUGUGUUGCUGUGGGUUUGUGGUGGUCUCUUCUUGGUGUCCGGCAUGGUUCUGCACGGAUGUGGUUAGAUUCAGUUUGAAACAGGAAACACAGGUUCAUUCUGCUCUCAUUAGUCCUUCAUCUGACUUCAAACAAUAUCCAUCAGAAUGGAGAUGGACUGAGAGGCCUCGCUAAAGGUAUGAUUGAUGUCCAGAGCCAACAAGGAGUUCUCCUUGCCAUCAUUUCUUUGGCCUGCCUUGGUUGUAUUUAUGCUCUCUGUCUGUGCUGCAGAAAGAAAUCUUCUAUGCAACAAGAGGACAAUGACCUGUAUGAACAAGAUGAUUUCAAUGAGGACAGUAAAUAUGGUGAAUGCAGAAAACCUACA